rnacentral:lncRNA from 1 species
GUUUGAGACCAGCCUAAUCAACAUGGAGCUGUGUUUACUGAGUGGGGCUUUCGCAGGCUGGAGCUAAGAAUUUCCAGUAUGCGUAACAGCCACAGCCCAAAUACCUGCCAGAGAGUUGUGUAAUUCCCCAGAGCAGGCCUGGGCAGUGUCUGGGUGGGGCCUGGGAGCCACAGGAGACGCCCAAAGCCAGGCAGAGCCCGGGGGCGAGGGGGCGGCAGGCAGGUGUAGCGCUGCCCUGGGCGGGCUUGCACCCCCACACCCAAGUGAGCGGCCUGCUCACUCCUCAGCUGCAGGAGCCAGACAUGUGGAGUCCCAGCAGAGGCCAACCUGUGUCUCUUCAUCUCCGUGAGAAAGGUGCCCCCGAAGUGAAAGAGAUGGCCUGGUGGAAAGCCUGGGAGAAUGAAUAAACAGACUAGGUUGAAUCCAUACAAUGGAAUGGUAGCAGACAAUAAAAAGAAAAUGAACUAUUGAUGCCCCCUACUGCACAGCAGAAGCUCUGAAUCGUGUUCCUGAAUGAAAGAAGUCAGGUAUGAAAGAAUAAACAUUGUAUGAUUCCAUUUAUAUGAAAAUGAAUCUGUGAUUUAAAAAUCAGACUAGUAUUAGGUUGGUGCGAAAGUAAUUGCGUUUUUUGCCUUUUUUUUUUUUUAAUAGUUGCUUUGGGGUUUAUGGAUGGAGUGGCAUGGUAGAGGUUAGCUGAAGGGGGCAUGAAAUAACUUUUUGGGGGUGCUAGAGUGUUGUAAAUCUUACAGUGGGGGAGGGACAGGAGUGCAGGCAUUUGACAAAACACAUUGAAUUGUGAAAUUUAAGAUUUUUGAAUUUCUUUGUAUGUAAAUUACCUGCCAAUAAAAACAUGACGAAUAGAGCAGUUAUGAGUAUUUGUGUGUAGCUUUUUGUGCAAACUUAAAUUAUAAUUUCUCUGAUAAAAGCCCAGGAAUGUGAUUGUUGAGUAAUAUGGUAAGUGCAU